ACUGUGGCAUGUGGAAGUUUCUGGGCCAGGAAUCGAACCCACACCACAGCAGCGACCCAAGCUCCUGCAGCAACAACACCGGAUCCUUAAUCCACUGUGCCCCUAGAGUCCGCUGGGGGUGAUUUUUAUUUCAUUGCCUCAGCCAAUAACAGGAAGAUCCCUGAAGUUGAGGGCGGGGCGAGAGAUGAUGAGGAGAGGCUGCUCGCUAAGAACCCCCUCCCUUCCAGGUCUUUACCAAUUUCAUACCGUGGAGUUACAGGUGGCAUCUCAUCUUUAAACAGGUUCCCACUGCUUAAGAUACAAAACAAAGGAACAAAAAGAAAACCCUUUGAAGGGGUCAGUCUUGAAGAUCCCUUAAAAUGUAACAGGAAAUACAUGUAUGAGAGUCAUCAUAUCUCAGUGCAUUUGGAGCUGUGAUGCCAGGAGUAUAUGCCCAAUCCCCCCUUCCAGUUUAAAGCAUGAACCGACAUCCCCAGUGAAGCUGAAAAGUAAGACUCAUCUACUCGGAGUAAAAUUAAUACUUCCGCUCACAGGCAGGUAGUAAAUGAAUGUUUUUUAGAAUAAAGGAAGACAGGGUCUCCUGUCCCAGGAACGGCUUAGCUGCUUUCGUGAUAGUUUGAUCACUACAUGCUAGCAACUGACUACGGUUAGAAGUGUGCAAGCCGGCCUUCCUCAUUCAACCAAGCGGUGCCCCAGGGAAAGAGAGACAAUGCUGCCUGCUUGUCCUCCAGCUGGAACCACCCCCUCCCAGGUCAUGCAAAUAAGGAUGGGUUCAGCAUCACUCACUGGAUAAACUUUAAUCUCCAAGUCACCUACUGAAUAUGAUUUACCCCUCUCUCCACUUUGCAGAGAGGUAAACUGAGACAUGGAAACAAGAAAUCAAACCUUUGUGCUGAAGGUCAAGGACUGGCUUUCAAACUCCAAAACUCACGGACCUUGGGUAAGUUAUCUUACUCUCCUGGUCCCAGUUUUUCCAGUUGCCAAGCAGUUCAUGGGUAAAUCCAUGUGAAGUUCUUAGGAAAGUACUUGGCACACAGCAAACACUCAGCUUGUGCUAGCUAUUGCUUUCAUCAUUUUAUUUGUCAUUAAGUUAAUACGUGCCAAGCACUUUGCAAAGUUUGAACAGACCAUUCAACAAACAUUUGUUGAGUACCUAAAAGGUGCUAGGCACCGUUCACUAUUUCAUUUAAUCCCACAACACUUUGAGGUAGCUCGGGUCACAGCUGUGACUGGGUUUGAUCCGUGGCCUCGGAAUUUUUGCAUGCCAUGGAUAUGGCCGGAAAGAAAAAAAAAGUCACCUAGCCCAGAGUGGUCCUGUAAAUAGUGGCUGCUAUCAUUAACAUAAUCAUUUAUGUCGCUAUGCUGUUUAGUAUACUGUUUCCCAAAUACCAGGCAAUCACAUAGCACCUCUGUGCUUUUAACACAUGUAUCUCGACAUACUGAAUAUUUUUACUAAGUGAUCAGUGUUUUCGAUAAUUUGAAUAAACUGCUUGGCACAAAACCUGGACAAUAAUGAUAAUAACAAUAAUAACAAUAAUUAUUGUUUACUAUUAUUUUAUUGCAUGCCAGCCCAAGGGAAUCAAAGGACACGUGGCCUAGGUCACUCUGCUCAUACAGGGCUAAGUCUAGCGUGAAGACACAUAAAGCAGUGCCAAACGCACUGAGGAACAUUCUACAGCAGGAAUUCAGAUCUGUGUCUGGUGAGAAAAAUCAGGCAAGACUUCACAGAGGAGGCAGCCUCUGAUUUAUGACAGGACGACGAAGAGUUUGUCAAAUACACCAUUAAAGGGCAUCCCCAGCAGAGAGCCUACGUCUAAGCCCUCAAAAACCCCAGCCCCAGCACAGGCCUAAUGGCCUGCAGAUCCCAUCUGACAUGUAAAAAGCUGACAAUUAGGAAUCGCCUCCACCUCCUCCAAGCUUAUUUUCAUGCCAGAGACUUCCAGAGAGAGAAGGGUGAGCAGAAAGAAAAGCUCUUGAGUCAUCUGCUUAUUGUAAAGAAAUACAACCUCGUGUUCCUUUGUCAUUCCCAAAGGGACGCUUCAACACGACAGGCUAAUCACCUGCAAAAUUACUGCAAGGAGCUGGUUCUUACUUAUGUACAAGCAGAAGAGCAUUCCAAGCAUCUUCACAUGGCUGGUUUUAUAACUCAAGAAAGACUGCUCUGAUUUAGCUUAUUUUUCCAAUUCAAACUCAGAAGAUAAUGGAACAAAUGGAUCCUGGGACCUGUCAAAGGAGAGGGGAAGAGAAAUGCAGGAAACAAGCCCAGGGUAAUCAAUGCGGGCUUCUUACAUGGAGGCGUGGAGAUAGUGUAAUCAUUUCGGAGGCCAGAGCAUAGAGUAUAAGGCUCUUGAGUAUUUUUAUAUAGAAGAUGUUACUCUUAAAAUCCUGAUGAUGUGUCAAGUCUGUAGAUUAAGCCCUGCCUCGUAGCCCAGAAUGGUAUACGUCACUCAUGCAGAUUGCUUACGGCGUUCACGCUUGUUCUGCCUUUUUUUUUUUUUUUCAGGUCCAAGAAGCAUCCCCACCACAGUCUAGUAAAGCUUUUCAUGGAAAAUUUCUCCGAGGAAACCAGUCUC
rnacentral:lncRNA from 1 species